rfam:Ixodes scapularis strain Wikel colony gcontig_1107729197968, whole genome shotgun sequence.
GCAGUCGUGGCCGAGUGGUUAAGGACUAGAAAUCCAUUGGGGUCUCCCCGCACAGGUUCGAAUCCUGUCGACUGCG